rnacentral:ncRNA from 1 species
GUUACAGGUGGCGCGGCGCCAGUGAGCGCAGCGCCGAAAAUGCGCAAUACCUAACGAAGACGGUAGAUAA